GCUGGGUGUGGUGGUGCACACCUGUAAUCUUAGCCACUCGGGAGGCUGAGGCAGGAGGAUCACAAAUUCAAAACCAGCCUCAG
rnacentral:sRNA from 1 species